rnacentral:tRNA from 1 species
GCCGGGAUGGUGGAAUUGGUAGACACAAGGGACUUAAAAUCCCUCGGCAGAAAUGCUGUACGGGUUCGACUCCCGUUCCCGGUA